CAAUUUUCAGCGACGGAUAUCUUGGCUCGAGCACCUAUGAAGGGCGCAGCGAAGUGCGAUAAUCGUGGUGAAUUGCAGAACUCCGUGAACCAAUGGCCUCUUGAACGUGCAUUGCGCUCUUGGGAUAUGCCUGAGAGCAUGUCUGCUUCAGUG
rnacentral:rRNA from 1 species